UCGAGUAUGGUGUAAUGGCUAACAUUGCCGCCUCUCAUAUGUAAUAACCACUAAGGUUUCAUGGUAAAUUUUCGCGGCAGCUCGGGGUUCGAUUCCCCGUACUCGAA